CCCGGGGUGAACCUGCGGAAGGAUCAUUAUUGAAAUUAUAGGUGAGGGUUGUAGCUGGCCUCUCGGGGCAUGUGCACGCCCGAGCCCUUAAUCCACACACACCUGUGAACCUAUUGUAAGGGCCCUUAAAAAAGGCCUUUACGUCUUAUCAUCAACCCAUCGUAUGUCUCAUAGAAUGUAAAUAUAUGUCCUCGUCUUAAAAAGCGUUGAUAAACUUAUACAACUUUCAACAACGGAUCUCUUGGCUCUCGCAUCGAUGAAGAACGCAGCGAAAUGCGAUAAGUAAUGUGAAUUGCAGAUUUUCAGUGAAUCAUCGAAUCUUUGAACGCACCUUGCGCUCCUUGGUAUUCCGAGGAGCAUGCCUGUUUGAGUGUCAUUAAAUUCUCAACUCCGAUCGAUUUGUUUCGACUUCGGAGCUUGGAUUUUGGAGCGUGCUGGCGUCGGUCGGCUCCUCUUAAAUGCAUCAGCGGAAUCUAACGUUUCGGACGUCAGUGUGAUAAUCAUGUUGCGCUGUCUGUCUGAUCCGAAAGCCCGCUCACAAUGGUCUUCGGACAACUUCAUAUCAAAUUUGACCUCGAAUCAAGUAGGACUACCCGCUGACUUAAGCAUAUCAAUAAG
rnacentral:rRNA from 1 species